GUACUUUCAGCAGUGAGGAAGGUGGAUUAUGUUAAUAGCAUAUUCAUUUUGACGUUAGCUGCAGAAGAAGCACCGGCUAACUCCGUGCCAGCAGCCGCGGUAAUACGGAGGGUGCGAGCGUUAAUCGGAAUUACUGGGCGUAAAGCGCAUGCAGGUGGUUUGUUAAGUCAGAUGUGAAAAGCCCCGGGGCUCAACCUCGGAAUUGCAUUUUGAAACUGGCAAACUAGAGUACUGUAGAGGGGGGUAGAAUUUCAGGUGUAGCGGUGAAAUGCGUAGAGAUCUGAAGGAAUACCGGUGGCGAAGGCGGCCCCCUGGACAGAUACUGACACUCAGAUGCGAAAGCGUGGGGAGCAAACAGGAUUAGAUACCCUGGUAG
rnacentral:rRNA from 1 species